UACAGAGGUGGCAAGCGUUGUUCGGAAUUACUGGGCGUAAAGGGCGCGUAGGCGGCCUUCUAAGUCAGACGUGAAAUCCCCCGGCUUAACCUGGGAACUGCGUCUGAUACUGGGAGGCUUGAGUAUGGGAGAGGGAUGUAGAAUUCCAGGUGUAGCGGUGAAAUGCGUAGAUAUCUGGAGGAAUACCGGUGGCGAAGGCGGCAUCCUGGACCAUAACUGACGCUGAGGCGCGAAAGCGUGGGUAGCAAACAGG
rnacentral:rRNA from 1 species